GGGCUGGCUUUGACAGCACAUACACUAAAAUUGGAACGACACAGAGAUUAGCAUGGCUCCUGCACAAGGAUUACAUACAAAUUUGUGAAGCAUUCCAUAUUUUG